rnacentral:rRNA from 1 species
UUUAGAGAGUUUGAUCCUGGCUCAGGGUGAACGCUGGCGGCGCGCUUAAUGCAUGCAAGUCGAACGUGCCUUCGGGCAAGUGGCAGACGGCUGAGUAACGCGUGAGUAACACACCCUUCGGUGGGGUAUAGCCUCGGGAAACUGAGGGUAAUCCCGCAUACGAUCCCUAUGCUCUGGUGUAGGGAUGAAAGCCUUCGGGCGCCGGAGGAGUGGCUCGCGUCCUAUCAGGUAGUUGGUGAGGUAAC